CUACUACCGAUUGAAUGGCUUAGUGAGGUCUCCGAGAUUGGCUUCGAGAAACCGAGCAACGGUAGCUCUUAGCUGAGAAGCUGAUCAAACUUGGUCAUUUAGAGGAAGUAAAAGUCGUAACAAGGUU
rnacentral:rRNA from 1 species